rnacentral:rRNA from 1 species
CCUACGGGAGGCAGCAGUGAGGAAUAUUGGUCAAUGGACGAGAGUCUGAACCAGCCAAGUAGCGUGAAGGAUGACUGCCCUAUGGGUUGUAAACUUCUUUUAUAAAGGAAUAAAACGCGGCACGUGUGCCUUUUUGCAUGUACUUUAUGAAUAAGGAUCGGCUAACUCCGUGCCAGCAGCCGCGGUAAUACGGAGGAUCCGAGCGUUAUCCGGAUUUAUUGGGUUUAAAGGGAGCGUAGAUGGGUUGUUAAGUCAGUUGUGAAAUUUUGCGGCUCAACCGUAAAAUUGCAAUUGAUACUGGCAGUCUAGAGGACAGUUGAGGUAGGCGGAAUUCGUGGUGUAGCGGUGAAAUUCUGAGAUAUCACGAAGAACCCCGAUUGCGAAGGCAGCUUACUAAGCUGUGACUGACAUUGAUGCUCGAAAGUGUGGGGAUCAAACAGGAUUAGAAACCCGAGUAGUC